UUCCUCAUCGUAGAAUCACUAGCACAACCACAGACAGUAACAGCAAGGAGUGAGAGCAGAGGACUGCCAAGGACCCAUCCAUCCUUCCUAACACCCAUAUGAGCUCUCCCCCACUCUUACCGCCCCUUCACCCCGGCUGGAAGUCCAUCUGUCAUCUGCCCAGUGGAGGAAGGGACCCUCCUUCCGCCACAGGGUGUUUGGGAAGGGGCAGCAGGGGCAGGGGAAUGGACAAAUGCGUUAUCCAACCACCACCCCCAGCCACCAGCCCCAGUCGCCAGGAUGCCGCAGUCGCCCGGGACACGCGCCCAGGCCUUCCGCCCCACAAGGUGAAGAAGCCUGUGAAGGGAGCGGGGCCUGGACUACUGAACCCGUUUUGCAGAGACAGAAGCGGAGGCAGUAUGGGCCAUCUUCCCUACUGCCGUGUCCCCCCACCGUGCCCCAGGAUGCUCCCAGGACC